AGGGUAGCUUUUCAAGUUGUUUUCCGGGAGGAAAGUCCGGGCAACACAGGGCAUUCCGCUCUUUCCCUGGCCCGAGUUUAUUGGGAUCGGGGAGGAGAUGUUCGUGAGGGCAUGGUAACGGAGAAGAAAAUAACCGUCUCGGUCUCUUCGGGGGUCGUGAUAAGGGUGAGAAGGUGGGGUAAGAGCCCACCAGGUUGAGUGGCAACAUUCAAUGCUGUCCGUCCCGGAAGUUGCAAAACCAAAUAUAUCCUGAAGCUUCGGCCAGCAGCUGCCCGUUGCAGUUUCUUCACUCGUGGGGAAGUUCAGGAGGGGUAGGUCGCUUAGAUAAAUGAUAGGAGCACCGUUCUCGAAAGAUCUCGGUGUACAGAACCCGGCUUACAGGUCUGCUUUUUCU
rnacentral:RNase_P_RNA from 1 species